rnacentral:misc_RNA from 1 species
CCGCUUUGACGGAAUACGCAACGAUGGUCGAGUUACCGUGGUCAGCUAUUCCAAGCAGGAAUCUGACGAGCAUCGAGGAAGGCCAUAACAGCGACCGCCAACCCGAUCAGAAGCUCGUCGAGACUCUGGCACGGGGGUAUUUGUGGGCAGGUUCGUUGUCGGACGGCACAUACACAUCCAUCGAGCAACUGGCGAAAUCUGUCCGUCUUCAUCCGAAUAUCAUCCGCCAGGGUCUAAGAG